rnacentral:rRNA from 1 species
UACGUAGGGGCAAGCGUUGUCCGGAAUCAUUGGGCGUAAAGCGGCGUGUAGGCGGCCCGGUAAGUCCGCUGUGAAAAGUCCAGGGCUCAACCCUGGGAUGCCGGUGGAUACUGUCGGGCUUCGAGUCCGGAAGAGGCAAGUGGAAUUCCCGGUGUAGCAGGUGGAAAUGCGCAGGAUAUCGGGAAGGAACACCAAUGGCGAAGGC